CCCUACGGGGGGCAGCAGUGAGGAAUAUUGGUCAAUGGGCGAGAGCCUGAACCAGCCAAGUCGCGUGAAGGAUGACGGCCCUACGGGUUGUAAACUUCUUUUGUCAGGGAGCAAUUGGGUCCACGCGUGGGCUUAGCGAGAGUACCUGAAGAAAAAGCAUCGGCUAACUCCGUGCCAGCAGCCGCGGUAACACGGAGGAUGCGAGCGUUAUCCGGAUUUAUUGGGUUUAAAGGGUGCGUAGGCGGAAGGUUAAGUCAGCGGUCAAAUGUCGGUGCUCAACACCGGCCUGCCGUUGAAACUGGUCU
rnacentral:rRNA from 1 species